rnacentral:rRNA from 1 species
GAUGAUCUUUAGGGGGCCUGAGAGGGUGAUCCCCCACACUGGUACUGAGACACGGACCAGACUCCUACGGGAGGCAGCAGUGAGGAAUAUUGGACAAUGGGUUAGCGCCUGAUCCAGCCAUCCCGCGUGAAGGACGACGGCCCUAUGGGUUGUAAACUUCUUUUGUACAGGGAUAAACCUAUCUACGUGUAGAUAGCUGAAGGUACUGUACGAAUAAGCACCGGCUAACUCCGUGCCAGCAGCCGCGGUAAUACGGAGGGUGCAAGCGUUAUCCGGAUUUAUUGGGUUUAAAGGGUCCGUCGGCGGAUCUGUAAGUCAGUGGUGAAAUCUCACAGCUUAACUGUGAAACUGCCAUUGAUACUGCAGGUCUUGAGUAAGGUAGAAGUGGCUGGAAUAAGUAGUGUAGCGGUGAAAUGCAUAGAUAUUACUUAGAACACCAAUUGCGAAGGCAGGUCACUAUGUCUUAACUGACGCUGAUGGACGAAAGCGUGGGGAGCGAACAGGAUUAGAUACCCUGGUAGUCCACGCUGUAAACGAUGCUAACUCGUUUUUGGGCUUUCGGGUUCAGAGACUAAGCGAAAGUGAUAAGUUAGCCACCUGGGGAGUACGAACGCAAGUUUGAAACUCAAAGGAAUUGACGGGGGCCCGCACAAGCGGUGGAUUAUGUGGUUUAAUUCGAUGAUACGCGAGGAACCUUACCAAGGCUUAAAUGGGAAUUGAUCGGUUUAGAAAUAGACCUUCCUUCGGGCAAUUUUCAAGGUGCUGCAUGGUUGUCGUCAGCUCGUGCCGUGAGGUGUUAGGUUAAGUCCUGCAACGAGCGCAACCCCUGUUACUAGUUGCUACCAUUAAGUUGAGGACUCUAGUAAGACUGCCUACGCAAGUAGAGAGGAAGGUGGGGAGGUCGUCAAAUCAUCACGGCCCUUACACCUUGGGCCACACACGUAACGCAAUGGCCGGUACAGAGGGCAGCUACACAGCGAUGUGACGCCAAUCUCGAAAACCGGUCUCAGUUCGGAUUGGAGUCUGCAACUCGACUCU